AUGGGGUUGGGGCAAAAAUUGUGACAUCAGGGUCAAAAAAUAGAAAUGUAAUAAAUGAAAUGUUUUAUUUCUUAUAUGUUUCAUGGGACAAUCCUUCAACUAAAUCCACUUACAGGCAUUUCAUACCACCCUGCAUAUUGGAGUAAACUGAGAAAUAAGAUUUGACAAAAUACCACCGUUACAUGGACAUCAUUUAUCAUCCUUACUAAGACUAUGCUCUCCCACUGUCAAAAUAAAGGGGUUGAUCUCCAUUACUCUUGAUAAAUAUUUUGCUAACAACAUUGUUAGUCACUUUAUUCCACACUUUCCAACAUGGCAUAUAUAUUUUGAAAGAUUUAGCAUCAAUAAAUGGAACUUGAUGCUCUGUGUGUAUACCAGUGCCAUGUUCUGUGUCGUUCUUUUUUCUCACCAGUCUAGAAAAUUGAAUUUAUGAUGGCAUGUAGAACUAAAUAGUUGAGAGAAGUCAUGCCUCAACAGAAUGGAAUAUUCUCUUUGGAAAAACUAAACUACUUUUUCUGGCCUAACCUUCUAUUUUUGGUGUUACCACCGUUACAUGGACAUCAUGUCUCAGUAACAGAGGUAUACUUAGAAGCAAUGUUAAGUUAAUGUCCAUUAAUGGCCAUUACACACCAAAUUCCACUUCAUGCCUUAGAAUAUUUGCACAAGAUCAAUUGAUUACACUAAAGAAAAACAUUUUGAGUGUCAAAUUCUUUGCUAAUAAACGCAAAUUAAGUUAGAGUUUAAACAAGGAAAAAUGUACAAAAUUAUUGACAAAUUAUAUUUAAAAUCAUACUACGAUAAUCCUCAAGUUUCCACUUCCGUCUACCUCUGGAAACAUUUAUGUUUCUGCCUAAAGGAAAAAAUAUGAAACAGUGCUAUCUUAUGAUCUCCAAUUCUUUUUACUUUAAAAUAACUCCUUCAAGAUAUUACUUUCAAAUGUACGUACCACCGUUACAUGGACAUCAUGUCUCAGUAACAGAGGUAUACUUUGAAGCAUUGCUAAGUUAAGGUCCAUUAAUGGCCAUUAAACACCAAAUUCCACUUCAUGCCUUAGAAUAUUUGCACAAGAUCAAUUGAUUAUACUAAAAAACAUUUUUCAUGUCAAAUUCUUUGCAAAUAAAAGCAAUUUAAAUAAGAGUUUAAACAAAGGAAAAAUGUACAAAAAUUAUUGAUAAAUUUAUAUUUAAAAUAAUACUAAGGUAAUCCUCAAGGUUCCACUUCCGUCUAUCUCUGGAAACAAAUGUUUCUGUCUAAAGGGGAAAAAACAAGAGUGCUAGCUUAUGAUCUCCAAAUCUUUAUUACUUUAAAAUAUCUCCUUCACAAUAUUACUUUCAAAUGUACAUACCUCCGUUACAUGGACAUCAUGUCCUUGUAAUGAUCAUAUUGAAUAGUAUAACAUGUACUUGCCAUUCUUUUAGUAUCAACACACUAAAUGCGAGUUAACUCAUCUUACUCAAGUGUAGAAAUACAACAUCUACAGGCAAGCUUCUAAAAUGCAUCAAUGAACAGGUUACAAGUUUAUGAACUUCAAGAAGAUCGGUGACCCAAUGGAUAGAGGUAGAAUUGUGCCUCGCCAUCAGGCCAGGAGUACAGGUCACCAGAUUGACACUUCAUGUACUGAAGAUAUACAUUUUAACCUUCAACAGAG
rnacentral:lncRNA from 1 species